rnacentral:rRNA from 1 species
GACGAACGCUGGCGGCGUGCUUAACACAUGCAAGUCGAACGGAAAGGCCCUGCCUUAGUGGGGUGCUCGAGUGGCGAACGGGUGAGUAACACGUGGGUAACCUGCCCUGUACUUUGGGAUAACUUCAGGAAACUGUGGCUAAUACCGGAUAGGAGCUCCUGCUGCAUGGUGCGGGUUGGAAAGUUUCGGCGGUUGGGGAUGUACUCGCGGCUUAUCAGCUUGUUGGUGGGGUAGUGGAUUACCAAGGCUUUGACGGGUCGCCGGCCUGAGAGGGUGACCGGACACAUUGGAACUGAAAUACGGACCAGACUCAUAUGGGAGGGAGCAGUGGGGUAUAGUGCACUAUGGGCGGAAGCCUGAUGCAGCACCGCCGCGUGCGGGAAAACGGCCUUCGGGUUGUAAACCGCUUUCGCCUGUGACGAAGCGUGAGUGACGGUAAUGGGUAAAGAAGCACCGGCUAACUACGUG